rnacentral:rRNA from 1 species
GAUGAACGCUAGCGGCAGGCCUAAUACAUGCAAGCCGAACGGCAAGCCUUGUAGCAAUACGAGGCCUAGAGUGGCGCAAGGGUGCGUAACACGUAUGCAAUCUGCCCACGACAGGAGGAUAGCUCCCCGAAAGGGGAAUUAACCCUCCAUAGCACCGCGCGAGGGCAUCCGAGCGCGGUUAAACCAAAAGGGGUCGUGGAUGAGCAUGCGGUUGAUUAGCUAGUUGGUGGGGUAACGGCCCACCAAGGCGAUGAUCAAUAGGGGAACUGA